GAGUUUGAUCCUGGCUCAGGAUGAACGCUGGCGGCGUGCUUAACACAUGCAAGUCGAACGAAGCGCCUUAUUUGAUUUUCUUCGGAACUGAAGAUUUGGUGACUGAGUGGCGGACGGGUGAGUAACGCGUGGGUAACCUGCCCUGUACAGGGGGAUAACAAUCAGAAAUGACUGCUAAUACCGCAUAAGACCACAGCACCGCAUGGGUGCAGGGGUAAAAACUCCGGUGGUACAGGAUGGACCCGCGUCUGAUUAGCUGGUUGGUUGAGGUAACGGCUCACCAAGGCGACGAUCAGUAGCCGGCUUGAGAGAGUGAACGGCCACAUUGGGACUGAGACACGGCCCAAACUCCUACGGGAGGCAGCAGUGGGGAAUAUUGCACAAUGGGGGAAACCCUGAUGCAGCAACGCCGCGUGAGUGAAGAAGUAUUUCGGUAUGUAAAGCUCUAUCAGCAGGGAAGAAAGUGACGGUACCUGACU
rnacentral:rRNA from 1 species